rnacentral:rRNA from 1 species
GAUGAACGCUGGCGGCGUGCUUAACACAUGCAAGUCGAACGAGCUUUAUUACUACGAUCCCUUCGGGGUGACGGUUUUAAAGCGAGUGGCGGACGGGUGAGUAACGCGUGGAUAACCUGCCAUAUACUGGGGGAUAACAGCUGGAAACAGCUGCUAAUACCGCAUAAAACUGUAGAGUCGCAUGACUUUAUAGCCAAAGCUCCGGCGGUGUAUGAUGGAUCCGCGUCUGAUUAGGCAGUUGGCGGGGUAACGGCCCACCAAACCGACGAUCAGUAGCCGACCUGAGAGGGUGACCGGCCACAUUGGGACUGAGACACGGUCCAGACUCCUACGGGAGGCAGCAGUGGGGAAUCUUCCGCAAUGGGCGAAAGCCUGACGGAGCAACGCCGCGUGAGUGAAGAAGGUCUUCGGAUCGUAAAGCUCUGUUGUCGGGGACGGAAUGUUGAGACCUAGAACAUAGGUUUCAAAUGACGGUACCUGACGAGGAAGCCACGGCUAACUACGUG